rnacentral:misc_RNA from 1 species
GAUGAGUAUUUUAGCUACUUUUCGUGGGAAUUUUAGUCCAUUGUCGUCUUUGUCAUCACAGUACAGCUCUUGCUCUCAUUUCGAGCUUCGUUCGCGGCCAUUCUUAGCUUGUUCGGUUGUUUCUCGGCGGAAGAAACGGUGUCGUUUCAGGGAUUUCAAGUUGUACCAUGUUUCAAGGUUUCAUGGAAAGAGAGGGAUUGUUUGUAGAGUUACAGAGACGCAAACUGAACCAGAUAGCAAUAAUGAUAAGGAAAAAGAAGAACAUGAAGGAGGAGAGGCAACAUCUACUACAGACUCCAUAGGGCAAUCCAAUUCCCAGCCUGACUCUCAGCCUACGGUUGUAAAUCAAAUAAACAAUAAUGAUGGGGGAACUAAUGCUGAAGGUGGCACCCAGGAUCCUGAUGCUUUAGAAGUUGCUAGUGGUUCUCCUCUUCCAGGUGUGAAGCCCCAGCAACUGGAUGAAUCAAUAAGGAUUCCUAAAGGAACAAUUGAUAUUCUUAAGGACCAAGUAUUUGGCUUUGAUACUUUUUUUGUGACAAGCGAGGAGCCAUAUGAGGUGAGCUAAUAAAAUGGGUACUAUUGCUUUUCUCAUCCUCUGAGAAGGGAUAAAAGCAGAUGGAGUUGCCAUUGAGAUUAGAAAAUCUGGUUGAUCAUUGAAGUUUUUACAUUCAGACCUUUCUUUCUUACAAUGUUUAAAAUUAUUUACUACCUAUUUACAGAAAUGGAAUAUCUUCUUCAGAGGGAGUUAAGAAGUCAUGUGAAAAGCUAUUUCAUCCUCCUCUUUUGUUCACUAGAAUGGUUUUUAAGUUGUCAUUUUAAUCGAUUUACAUUUGGUAGGGUGGGGUCUUGUUUAAAGGAAACCUGAGAGGACAGGCUGCAAAAAGCUAUGAGAAGAUAGCAAACAGGAUGCAGAAUAAAUUUGGGGAUGAAUAUAAACUUUUCCUUCUAGUUAAUCCAGAGGAUGAUAAACCAGUGGCAGUUGUUGUUCCAAGAAAGACCCUACAGCCUGAAACAACAGCGGUCCCAGAGUGGUUUGCUGCUGGGGCUUUUGGAGUUGUUACAGUUUUCACAUUACUUCUCCGAAAUGUUCCUGCAUUACAAUCCAACUUAUUAUCAACUUUUGACAAUCUCGAGUUGCUAAAGAAUGGCCUGCCAGGAGCCCUUGUGAGUGCACUUAUUUUGGGAGUACAUGAACUCAGCCACAUAUUAGUUGCAAAAAGAAGUGAUGUUAAGCUGGGGGUGCCAUAUUUUGUUCCAAGUUGGCAGAUAGGCUCCUUUGGUGCUAUUACAAGGAUACUAAGUAUUGUGUCCAAACGUGAAGAUCUUCUGAAGGUUGCAGCAGCAGGACCUAUAGCUGGGUUCACUGUGGGCUUUGUUCUUUUUCUUUUAGGAUUCAUCUUACCACCUAGUGAUGGUGUUGGUCUUGUUGUUGAUGCUUCUGUCUUUCACGAGUCAUUUCUUGCUGGGGGUAUUGCUAAACUUCUUCUGGGUGAUGUACUCAAGGAAGGUACUCCCAUAUCUGUUAACCCGCUUGUGGUAUGGGCUUGGGCUGGACUGCUUAUUAAUGCCAUCAAUAGCAUCCCUGCAGGAGAGCUUGAUGGAGGGAGGAUUUCUUUUGCCAUAUGGGGAAGAAAGGCUUCAGCUCGCUUCACAGCUGUCUCAAUUGUCCUGCUUGGUCUAUCCUCACUGUUUAAUGAUGUGGCAUUUUAUUGGGUAUUUUUGAUAUUCUUCUUACAAAGAGGGCCAAUUGCUCCACUCGCUGAGGAAAUCACUGAUCCUGAUGAAAAGUAUGUUGCCCUUGGAGUUUUGGUUUUGCUCUUAGGAUUGCUGGUAUGUUUGCCAUACCCUUUUCCUUUUACAGAUGAAGUCGUUACAAAUUUCUAGUGAUAGUGUGAUACAGUCGCCUUAUUCUUAAUGCAAGCCAUCUUUCGGAAACUUAGGUCCAUUGGAGUAGGAUUUUUCUUAUGAAAAUCUUGGCCAAUAAAUUAGGUGAAAUGUAAAUGAUAUUUAUAUAUUAAUGAGUUCUAUACACAUGUACUGUUAACUCAUUUUUUCCCUUUUCUUUCUUUUUUAAUUUUUAUUUUUCCACAUGUUUUACCUUUUGAGCCACACGAAGCAUGUAAUGGUGAAAAUUACUUUCAGGAUUUCUAUUUUUCUGCAUUUUAUACCAGAACUGGUU